GUCGUGUAUGAACGUAAAAUGUAAGUGAGCGCGUAACAAUGCUCCAACGAAAAAAGGAAAACAAAAAAUUAAGUUAAGCAGUGAAAAACAAUAACAAGCAUAUUGCAAGCAAAUCGACACACAUACACACACGAGCCACUGAAUGACGUCUGUGGCGUGGAGUUGUGCAAGAAAAACAAAAAAAAUACACAAAUAUUUUUAAUAAAUAAAUGAAACACGAGUAUUGUAAUUAAAUACUUUGCUGUUGGAAGAAUUCACAAAAUAAAAGGUUGCAAAUGAAGGAGAAGUAGAAGUAGAAAAGCAAGCGGAGUGUAUUGUAGUGGAGUUAACGAAAACGAAACGCAGUGAUUGUACGAAAGAACGGCGGCGGCGAAGCGGCCGCGACGGUUAUUGUAACGAAAUCGAACGAUUUUUACGAAUCUAAACUAUUUGUGGAAAAUCGUUUAGACAACAGCGAAACGACUCAUCUAACUCAAUGAUUACUUUAAAAUCUAUUGGCAACACCCUCUUCGCCAUAUUCACCAUGCUCCACAGGCAGUGAGCUGUCAAUAAGCCAAAGUGUCAACACCCCAACUGUCAGCUUGUGCAACGGAGGCAAGCGAAAGAGAGAGAGGAAGAUUUAUAUUACCCGAGAGAAUAGUGCGCAUGGAUUGCUAUUCCAGCCCGUUUGAGCGAUUAAUAUUGAAGUAUUGACUAGCAAAAGCGUUUGAGCACUGUGGUGAAUUUGAGCACCCUGAUUUGACAGCUGAGAGCGAAAUUCAAAGCAAGCACUAGUCAUACAUAGCUGCGCAAGAGAGGCGAGCGUAACUGCAGCAAGGCUCGUUUUUCCUGACUUUUCCGCCUGACAAGCCUUGCGAACGUCGAGCCACAGACAGAACUGAGCAGCACAGCGAAGGAAGCUGUCAACGGGAGAAAAAGCGGAUGCAAAUUAAAAACGAUGUGACGCGAAAAACAGCUUUGUGAAGCGUUGGCAAAUAGAAAUUCUAAAACUGAUAGCUGAUGUUGCUUUUGUAGAAUAACUUAAAAAUUUAAGAAAAUUCUUAUUCGAAAUCGUUGAACGCGAAAAAUCUGUGCAAAACGUAAGUAGGUGGGCUAUCAGCAAAAACAGAAAAAAAAAUAUUUUUGGGUGUGAAAACGAAAGUGAAAAUUUAGCACAGAAACGAGAAACGAGUGCGCGCGUACGAGGCGGCGGCGAGUCCUCCCAAGUGACGGCGACCGAUAGGAAAGAAGGCUGUGACGCUGACAGCGACGCGCGUGGAACGUGUGGAACUCAGCAGAUAUCAGCUCGUAUUUAGCCAGCCAAGCAGCACCGCAGUCGACUGGAUAAGCAAGGAUGCUGUGCGUCGCAGCAGCAACUAAGCAAAUACCAACAACAAAUAGUUGGAAAGUGUGCGGUACAGCGGCGUUGACCGCGACACUCGUCUAGCUACCGCAUAGGCAUAGACCACCAGCCUCAACAUCGCGUUACUCCAUAACGCUGGUUGCUGGAGAGACAGGGCACAAAAAAUAAAUUUUCACAUAAGCGACCAUAUGAAAUUAAACCAAAAAAACGCAGCAGCGAAAGUUGACGGCGACAUACUUCAAAUUCCUCACAUACUUAGCAAGUGAGCGUGUGUUUGUGGGUGCUGUGAUUUGUGUGUCACGUGAAUAGAUGUGCAGUGCCUAAAUCUAUCCUUUAAUGCGUUUAAGUGUGCCCGAAACACAUGCCAGUUACGUUUAGCGCCUGCAAGUAUGCUAUAUUCGACAAUUUAGCGUAAAAGCAAACCUAUCGAAUACAAAACAGCUGAGCGGCUGCGACAACGGCAGGUUAACGCCUAAAAGUGUGCUAAACUAUAGCUGGUCACUGAGUGCGUGAAUGCGCGUAUACGGGCAAAAGUAUGCUGAGUAUUAUAUAAAACGAGAAGUAAAGAAAUUUUAGCAAAGCAAAUCAACGCGAAGGCUGUGAGCUGGCAGAUAGCUGCAGCACGAAAACCAGUUUAGAAAAGAAAUUUUCAUUGAAUAGCUAAUUAUAAAGGUUUUGCAACGCACAAAAGUAUGCAAGGCUUUAGAUAGGUAUAAAGAAAUUUUGACUAGAAAGCGGAGAGUAAUUAAUUUGUUAAAACAAAUGCGGAAACAUUGUAACGGGCAAGUGAUUGCGAAUAAAAGUAUGAUCCAAUUGUGAAAUGCGAAAAAGCGAGCAAAAAAAUUGUACAGUGCGCCAUUCAAUAAAGUAGUAGCGUCAAGUCGUGUUAAUCAGCGAAGUAUAUCUGAAAUAUUAAUAGUUUGUGACUGUGUGCGUGCGAAAAGUAGCGAAUCAUUCCACAACACCUAAAACGCUGGAAAGCUGAAUGCGAAAGUGCAAGAAGUUCUUUAAUUUAAAGCAAGAUUCGUAGAUUAGUUUGUGUAAAAGUGCGAAAAUCAUUAAAUUUCCCAAGCGCCUUGAAUGCCGCCGCAAAAUUAUUAAACAAAAAAAUACCAAAAAAAUUAAACGUAUCAGACUUGCUGUAUUGAAACGAAAUUCGUGCAAACAAAAAAAAAGUGUGUGCAUAUACGCACACGCUUAAGCGCCCAAAAGUCUGCUGCGAUUUAAGCAGAAGCAAAGAAAAAAGCAGAAGAGCGAGAAAAGUGACGGCGCUAGCCAAAAUAAAUUCUAUUAAAAAAGUCAUAAAUAACGCAGCAGCACGUUUUUCAACGCUCGUGCUCUUCCAAUCAUCGUGCGAAUGACGCGCCAUAUGAGCCAACUGUGCACAAUUCGCUUGCGCGCUCUCGCCACUCUCACUUACUGAAUGAGUGCGUAAAUUACUGUGACGUCAAAAAUUUAAAUAAAAAGUGUUUUUUCAAUUAUUUUUAUAUUUUUGUUUGUGUACGCCAAAAAGUAGACAAGCAUUGCACGUAAAAUGUGUUGCAGCUUUUUGCCAUUUAAACGCAUAAAUUAUAAUGAAAUUGUAACCGAAUGUCAAGUAAAUACUGAUUAGCUAGUAAUAAUUGUCACAAAACAACAACAAAAGUAAUCGUAGUAGCAUAAACAGCAAUACACAAAUACAAUUUUUGCAGCAAAAUGGAGCAGCCCAGCAUAUUGGUGCGCAUUUUGCACUCAAUUCCACAUGUGAAUUAUACCUUUCAGCGGGUGAAUGACACCUUCAAUCCGGACAGUGAUGUUUAUCUUGAGGUAUGUUGUGACACCAGCAAUAACGAUUUUGGAAGCUUUUUCAAUUGCAAUUUCACGGAGGAAAUAAAUUGGCGCCAG